rnacentral:lncRNA from 1 species
UACAUCUUUUAUAUGUAGAGACCUCCGUAGCCGAGUGGUUAAGGUCGCUGACUUUGAAAUCACUUGCCCCUCAUCGAUGUGUGUUGGAGCCUUACUCGGGGUGUUGAAUUCUUCAUGUGAGGAAACCAUCAUACUGGCUUACGGAAGGUCGGUGGUUCUACCCAGGUGCCCGCUCGUGAUGAAAUAACUCCCGGAGGGCACCUGGGGUCUUCCUCUACCAUCAAAGCUGGAAAGUCGCCAUAUGAAAUAUUAUUGUGUGUGUAAAACGUUAGACCCAACCAGAUAAAUAAAAUCUUUUAUACCUAGAAUAGAGUUCAUCCGAUGGCCACUACGAUUUCACACAGAAGUGAUAUUGAUGUCCCUGCUAACAAGUUGCUGUUAUGUGAAUGCGGUAUCCCAACAAGUACUCGCAAAGACCUUGUAUGAUCACCUGAUGGCAGAUUAUGACUCGAGCCUUAUACCGCUCUGUAACAGCACAUCUACAGUGACUCUAAAUAUGGAUAUCGCUCUCAGACAGAUAAUGGACAUGAAUGAAAGAGAGCAAAUAUUGACAACAAAUUUGUGGAUGCGAUUGGUAAUGUUAUAUUCUUUCUUUGUGUGUAAAUUUGUUAAAUUUCUUGCAUUUCAAUUUGUUUCAUUAUACAACUAACGUUAUUUGUAAUUGCAUAGAGCACAUGUAAGCUACUAUGCAACCUGUCUAUACUGUCGUGGGGUAUGUUCUUCGUAUACAAAUUACAUUACGCUGAAUUGGCCGAACUCAGACACCAUACUGUUAUAUUUUCUGGUCGUUUUGGUCUCACGUAGUCCAUCAAAUGUUCCGUAUAAAAUGCGCUCCACGUAAGCCGGUAAGGGAUAUUGCACAUUUCAUUCCCUCUCAGUCCCACUGAGUCUGCUAUCGUUCUAUUGGUUGCGUUCUAUACUCCCUGAGGACCUGAGGAUCUUCUUUUAGAUUUUAUUUUUCCAUAUUGAAAAUCAUGUGAAACUACAUACAGCCAGACUGUACUUCACCUUUUUGAGAAAUUGCUAUUAAUAUGUAGCAUACCAGCGGCGCACAUGGUCGUGUUUAUUUUUAGAUAUAUUUGCAAUUCAUGUUUUUUAUUAAUGCGAAUCUAGUAACCUGGUAUGAUGCAGCACACAGAAUACAGACAGGCGGCAGGCAAGGUAAACUAUUGAUAUCGCAUUAUUAAAAGAAUCACCGUAUAAAGCUAUCAACAAGAAAUAUUAAAUAAUGGUUGCAUCUUUAAGUCGACGUAUUGCUUGUCUCUCGAGGUAACGGAUUAUUUAUUUUGCAGCUGGCAAAAAGCAUGCGUGUAGCCUAAUGUUCAAUGUUAUAAUUAUCUGCACUGAUGUUCUUUUUCUUUCAUUUUUUUUUUCGACUGCGAUGUAAUGUAAAAGUCAUCAUUUUCACCCGACGAUGAAAUAAUGGUAAGCAUUUGGUUUCUUUAUAGAGAUGGAAUGAUUGUAGACUGACCUGGGAUCCCACGUCAUAUAACAACUUGACGUCACUUAUGGUGACGUAUAAUGAUGUAUGGUUACCUGAUAUAAGUUUGUAUGAUAGUGCCUCUGAUGGUGACAUGCUACCUGGAAUAAAGAAUAAUCGUGCUUAUAUUUCCUCUUCCGGUUCUGUGACGUACAACUUUCCGACAGUUGCCAAAUCCAUCUGUAGAGUCAAUGUUAGAUACUUCCCAUUCGAUACACAGGAAUGUCCACUACAGUUUGGAUCCUGGUCACAUCACGGCAAUGAACUAGACAUGGUUGAACAGAAACGAAAAAGGUAAAUUGUAUCUAGUCCGUUAAAAUGUGUCCGUUAAAAUGCAA